UGCCAUGGCGGCUGUGCGUGGGACACCUUCGAGUGUGCCGAGUUUCGUAAUAGUCUCGGUCGGCUAACCCGCGUACAGCUGCCACCCUC
rnacentral:antisense_RNA from 1 species